GAUCAUGGCUCAGGAUGAACGCUAGCGACAGGCCUAACACAUGCAAGUCGAGGGGCAGCGAAGAGGUAGCAAUACCUUUGUCGGCGACCGGCGCACGGGUGAGUAACACGUAUGCAAUCCACCUGUAACAGGGGGAUAACCCGGAGAAAUCCGGACUAAUACCCCAUAAUAUGGGCGCUCCGCAUGGAGAGCCCAUUAAAGAAGCAAUUUGGUUUACAGACGAGCAUGCGCUCCAUUAG
rnacentral:rRNA from 1 species